AAAAAUAUAAAAAAUAAUUCUUUUUGAUUGUUAGUUAUCGAAAAGAUGAAAGAGAAAUUAAAUUAAAUAUCAUUUGUAUUUAAUUUUACCUUAUAAAAUGAAAAUUAAUUUUUUUCUUAUAUAUUAGAAAAAAAAUACAUUUUUUCUCUUAUAUUAUUUUAUGAGGAGGGAGUAUAAGCCAAGGAAUAAACAAUAGUGACUCGCAAGGAGUU
rnacentral:lncRNA from 1 species